UACGUAGGGUGCGAGCGUUAAUCGGAAUUACUGGGCGUAAAGCGUGCGCAGGCGGUUUUGUAAGCCAGAUGUGAAAGCCCCGGGCUCAACCUGGGAAUGGCAUUUGGGACUGCAAGGCUGGAGUGUGGCAGAGGAGACUGGAAUUCCUGGUGUAGCAGUGAAAUGCGUAGAUAUCAGGAGGAAUACCGAUGGCGAAGGCAGGUCUCUGGGCUAACACUGACGCUCAUGCACGAAAGCGUGGGGAGCAAACAGG
rnacentral:rRNA from 2 species